AACGGGAACCGGCGCCCGGAAUGUCAGCGUGUGAAGUAGGCGCUGGCAACGCGGGGUUACCCGCUGUUAUUGAGGAGUAACGGCCCAGCGGACCACCCAGGCUUGAGGCAGCGGCGGGAACCACUCGGUUUGCUGCGAUACCAUGGAAGGAGGCGGGGGAAGCGGCGACAAAACCACAGGGGUAUUGGCCGGCUUUUUCGGAGCCGGCGAAGCAGGUUACUCGCACGCGGAUUUGGCUGGCGUCCCGCAGUCAGGACCUCGUUCUGUCACCCAUGUUGGGGUGCGGUGGCAUGAUUAUAGUUCACUGAAGCCUGGCACUCCUGAGCUCAAACAAUCCUCCCCUCUAAGCCUCCUAAGUAGCUGGGAAUCUAGUAACUGGUAUGAACCCUCUGUGUCCUUAUUUAAAUGUGGAUCCACGAUACCUCGUGCAGGAUACAGAUGAGUUCAUUUUACCUACCGGAGCUAAUAAAACCUGGGGCAGAUUUGAGCUGGCCUUCUUUACGAUUGGAGGGUGUUGCAUGACAGGGGCUGCGUUUGGGGCAAUGAAUGGUCUUCGGCUAGGAUUGAAGGAAACCCAGAACAUGGCCUGGUCCAAACCAGGAAAUGUACAGAUUUUGAAUAUGGUGACUAGGCAAGGGGCACUUUGGGCUAAUACUCUAGGUUCUCUGGCGUUGCUCUAUAGUGCAUUUGGUGUCAUCAUUGAGAAAACACGAGGUGCAGAAGAUGACCUUAACACAGUAGCAGCUGGAACCAUGACAGGCAUGUUGUAUAAAUGUACAGGCUGGAGUGCAGUGGCGUGAUCUCGGCUAGCUACAACCUCCACCUCCCAGCCGCCUGCCUUGGCCUCCCAAAGUGCCGAGAUUGCAGCCUCUGCCCGGCUGCCACCCCGUCUGGGAAGUGAGGAGCGUCUCUGCCUGGCCGCCCAUCGUCUGGGAUGUGAGGAGCCCCUCUGCCCGGGCUGCCCAGUCUGGGAAGUGAGGAGCGCCUUUUCCCGGCUGCCAUCCCGUCUAGGAAGUGAGGAGCGUCUCGGCCCGGCCACCCAUCGUCUGAGAUGAGGGGAGCGCCUCUGCCCCGCCGCCCCGUCUGGGAUGUGAGGAGCGCCUCUGCCUGGCCGCGACCCCGUCUGGGAGUGUCAGAGAUGGCUUUGGAUUCCCCGUUCUGUGUGCUGCUGUCUGGCUCCUGAACCCAGCUGUAGAGGUGUGUGUCAAUCCCAACUGGUGAAGUACUGAGAAGAAGCUACACAAAAGGCAGCAAAGUAUUACGUCAGCCUCGAGUUUGACCAGCAGCAGGGGUCGGUGUGUCCCUCUGAAUCUGAGACCUAUGAGGCAGGAGCUAGGGACAGGAUGGCAGGAGCGCCCAUGGCUGCUGCUGUACAGCCUGCUGAGGUGACUGUUGAAGUUGGUGAGGACCUCCACAUGCACCACGUUCGUGACCGGGAGAUGCCUGAAGCUUUGGAGUUUAACCUUUCUGCCAAUCCAGAGUCAAGCACAAUAUUCCAGAGGAACUCUCAAACAGAAGCUUUGGAGUUUAACCCUUCUGCCAAUCCAGAGGCAAGCACAAUAUUCCAGAGGAACUCUCAAACAGAUGUUGUAGAAAUAAGAAGAAGCAACUGUACAAACCAUGUAUCUGCUGUGCGUUUCAGUCAACAAUACAGCUUGUGUUCGACAAUAUUCCUUGAUGACAGCACAGCCAUCCAGCAUUAUCUUACAAUGACAAUAAUAUCUGUGACCUUGGAGAUACCUCAUCAUAUCACACAAAGAGAUGCAGAUAGAACUUUGAGCAUACCUGAUGAACAGUUACACUCAUUUGCGGUUUCCACCGUGCACAUUAUGAAGAAAAGAAAUGGAGGUGGGAGUUUAAAUAACUAUUCCUCCUCCAUUCCAUCGACUCCCAGCACCAGCCAGGAGGACCCUCAGUUCAGUGUUCCUCCCACUGCCAACACACCCACGCCCGUUUGCAAGCGGUCCAUGCGCUGGUCCAACCUGUUUACAUCUGAGAAAGGGAGUGACCCAGACAAAGAGAGGAAAGCCCCGGAGAAUCAUGCUGACACCAUCGGGAGCGGUAGAGCCAUCCCCAUUAAACAGGGCAUGCUCUUAAAGCGAAGUGGGAAAUGGCUGAAGACAUGGAAAAAGAAAUACGUCACCCUGUGUUCCAAUGGCAUGCUCACCUAUUAUUCAAGCUUAGGUGAUUAUAUGAAGAAUAUUCAUAAAAAAGAGAUUGACCUUCAGACAUCUACCAUCAAAGUCCCAGGAAAGUGGCCAUCCCUAGCCACAUCGGCCUGCACACCCAUCUCCAGCUCUAAAAGCAAUGGCCUAUCCAAGGACAUGGACACCGGGCUGGGUGACUCCAUAUGCUUCAGCCCCAGUAUCUCCAGCACCACCAGCCCCAAGCUCAACCCGCCCCCCUCUCCUCAUGCUAAUAAAAAGAAACACCUAAAGAAGAAAAGCACCAACAACUUUAUGAUUGUGUCUGCCACUGGCCAAACGUGGCACUUUGAAGCCACGACGUAUGAGGAGCGGGAUGCCUGGGUCCAAGCCAUCCAGAGCCAGAUCCUGGCCAGCCUGCAGUCAUGCGAGAGCAGUAAAAGCAAGUCCCAGCUGACCAGCCAGAGCGAGGCCAUGGCCCUGCAGUCGAUCCAAAACAUGCGUGGGAACGCCCACUGUGUGGACUGUGAGACCCAGAAUCCUAAGUGGGCCAGUUUGAACUUGGGAGUCCUCAUGUGUAUUGAAUGCUCAGGUAUCCACCGCAGUCUUGGCCCCCACCUUUCCCGUGUGCGAUCUCUGGAGCUGGAUGACUGGCCAGUUGAGCUCAGGAAGGUUAUGUCAUCUAUUGUCAAUGACCUAGCCAACAGCAUCUGGGAAGGGAGCAGCCAGGGGCAGACAAAACCCUCAGAAAAGUCCACGAGGGAAGAGAAGGAACGGUGGAUCCGUUCCAAAUAUGAGGAGAAGCUCUUUCUGGCCCCACUACCCUGCACUGAGCUGUCCCUGGGCCAGCAGCUGCUGCGGGCCACCGCUGAUGAGGACCUGCAGACAGCCAUCCUGCUGCUGGCACAUGGCUCCUGUGAGGAGGUGAACGAGACCUGUGGGGAGGGAGACGGCUGCACGGCGCUCCAUCUGGCCUGCCGCAAGGGGAAUGUGGUCCUGGCGCAGCUCCUGAUCUGGUACGGGGUGGACGUCAUGGCCCGAGAUGCCCACGGGAACACAGCGCUGACCUACGCCCGGCAGGCCUCCAGCCAGGAGUGCAUCAACGUGCUUCUGCAGUACGGCUGCCCCGACGAGUGUGUGUAGUAUCUGUUUUAUUUGACUGCAGUCUCCUUGGUGCAAAAACAAAAUGGGAAAAAUAAGGAUAACUCAGAAUUUCAAAAGGAAAUCACAAAUUCAGCUAAUAUUAGCAUUUUCAGUACUUUUCGUAAACUAAGUAAAUACACAAAAUGUUGAUUUUUCUGACCAUAAGACGUAUUUUAUGUCCUUCUGCCAAGGUGGAUUUGUUAGUCUCAGGCCCUCCUGGCCACAUUGCCCAAGUCACACAGGCUUCUGUAUUAUGUAUUUAGAUAAAAUGUGUGAAAACAUAUUUGAAAUAAAGUUCAUAAAUAUGCAUUGAUUUUUGUACACAUGGCA